rnacentral:rRNA from 1 species
CCCCUAGACGUUCUGGGCCGCACGCGCGCUACACUGACCAGUGCAACAAGCAUCCGUCCUUGGCCGACAGGCUCGGGCAAUCUUUGAACGCUGGUCGUGAUGGGGAUAGACUUUUGCAAUUUUUGGUCUUCAACGAGGAAUUCCUAGUAAACGCAAGUCAUCAACUUGCAUUGAUUACGUCCCUGCCCUUUGUACACACCGCCCGUCGCACCUACCGAUUGAAUGGUCCGGUGAAGCCUCCGGAUUGGCGCGCACCUCGGUGCCGCCGAGAAGUUGGCUAAACCUUACCAUUUAGAGGAAGGUGAAGUCGUAACA